AUACGUAGGGUGCGAGCGUUGUCCGGAAUUACUGGGCGUAAAGAGCUCGUAGGUGGUUUGUCGCGUCGUCUGUGAAAUUCCGGGGCUUAACUCCGGGCGUGCAGGCGAUACGGGCAUAACUUGAGUACUGUAGGGGAGACUGGAAUUCCUGGUGUAGCGGUGAAAUGCGCAGAUAUCAGGAGGAACACCGGUGGCGAAGGCGGGUCCCUGGGCAGUAACUGACGCUGAGGGGCGAAAGCAGGGGUAGCGAACGGGAUUAGAUACCCUGGUAGUCCAUGCCGUAAACGGUGGGCGCUAGGUGUAGGGGUCUUCCACGACUUCUGUGCCGUAGCUAACGCAUUAAGCGCCCCGCCUGGGGAGUACGGCCGCAAGGCUAAAACUCAAAUGAAUUGACGGGG
rnacentral:rRNA from 1 species